rnacentral:rRNA from 1 species
UACGUAGGUGGCAAGCGUUUGUCCGGAUUUACUGGGCGUAAAGAGCGCGCAGGCGGCCAAGUCAGUCGAAUGUGAAAGCCCCCGGCUCAACUGGGGAGGGUCAUUCGAUACUGCUCGGCUCGAAGACAGGAGAGGGAAGUGGAAUUCCCGGUGUAGUGGUGAAAUGCGUAGAUAUCGGGAGGAACACCAGUGGCGAAGGCGACUUCUGGCCUGUUCUUGACGCUGAGGCGCGAAAGCUAGGGGAGCAAACGGG